rnacentral:rRNA from 1 species
UACGGAGGGUGCAAGCGUUAUCCGGAUUCACUGGGUUUAAAGGGUGCGUAGGCGGAUUGGUAAGUCCGUGGUGAAAUCUCUAAGCUUAACUUGGAAACUGCCAUGGAUACUAUUAGUCUUGAAUAUUGUGGAGGUUAGCGGAAUAUGUCAUGUAGCGGUGAAAUGCUUAGAUAUGUCAUAGAACACCGAUUGCGAAGGCAGCUCACAAAGCCACUAUUGACGCUGAGGCACGAAAGCGUGGGGAUCAAACAGG